CUGCCCCUGGCUGCCACCUGAGAUCCACUGUCCCCAGAUGGGGCAAAGUUCUCUCUCUACCUUCGACUCUAUUUCCCAGGGUUCUACGGGGGCCUCAGUUUCCUAGUCUAUAAAAUGGGAAUGGCUGUCCAGAGAAGAAAGGCAGUCAUCCAGGGUCACUGGGGGACCCCACAAUGGAAGAUGUCCCUACAGAAGAGGACAGUGAAGAUGCACAGAUUCAUUCCUAAGGAGGCCAGGUCUUGUCCCCACCAUGUGGCAAGGAACUGGGAUAGUGCAGACUGGGAUGGGGAGGAAAGGACUCCAGGUCGCUGGCGCCUUCUGUUCCCACAGAACCUGACCCCUUGACAUUCUCAGAGUGGAACUGAAGCCCCCAAUCUUCCUGCCGGGAGCGCUUGGUUCCCAGCCCAACGGAGACUUCACACGGGCUCAUUAAAGUCCCAAAUAACAGGCUCGCUGUUCGCCUUUGGGGUUU